UUUCAUAUCCUUGUAAUUCUCUUCGAGUUAUGGGUUUUGUUUGGCCAACUUGAUCUAUAGUUCUUGCAAUGGGAGAAGUGCUUGGUUUUGGGAUCAUACCGUACGGUGACCUCACCCAGCGACAGAAGGGGUAGAGAGGCACGCAUCGUGUUGUUUCCAUCAAGGGUAAAAAGAUGGGGUUUAUAUCAUGUGCAUGAGUUUAUCCCUCUACAU
rnacentral:lncRNA from 1 species